AGUGGCGUACGGGUGAGUAACACGUGGAUCAUCUACCCUCUAGUGGGGGAUAACCCUGGGAAACCGGGGCUAAUACCGCAUAAGCUCGAGAGAGGAAAGCAGCAAUGCGCUGGAGGAGGAGUCCGCGGCCGAUUAGCUAGUUGGUAGGGUAAAAGCCUACCAAGGCUACGAUCGGUAGCCGGCCUGCGAGGGCACACGGCCACACUGGCACUGAAACACGGGCCAGACUCCUACGGGAGGCAGCAGUGGGGAAUCUUGCACAAUGGGGGCAACCCUGAUGCAGCGACGCCGCGUGAGCGAUGAAGCCCUUCGGGGUGUAAAGCUCUUUCGGCAGGAAAGAUGAUGACGGUACCUGCAGAAGCAGCUGCGGCUAACUACGUGCCAGCAGCCGCGGUAAUACGUAGGCAGCAAGCGUUGUUCGGAGUUACUGGGCGUAAAGGGUGUGUAGGCGGUCCUCUAAGUCUGGUGUGAAAUCUCCCGGCUCAACUGGGAGGGUGCGCCGGA
rnacentral:rRNA from 1 species